rnacentral:rRNA from 1 species
GAUCAUGGCUCAGGACGAACGCUGGCGGCGUGCCUAACACAUGCAAGUCGAACGGGGUCUUAGGGAGCUUGCUCCCAAAAGCCUAGUGGCGGACGGGUGAGUAACGCGUGAGCAACCUGCCUCUCAGAGGGGAAUAACGUUUGGAAACGAACGCUAAUACCGCAUAACAUUGUUUUGUCGCAUGGCAGAGCAAUCAAAGGAGCAAUCCGCUGAGAGAUGGGCUCGCGUCCGAUUAG